rnacentral:rRNA from 1 species
UUAAGAUACUAAGAGCAUACGGUGGAUGCCUUGGCGAUAUCUGCCGACGAAGGACGUGACAAGCUGCGAAAAGCUGCGGAGAGAUGCAAAUAAUCGGCGACCCGCAGACAUCCGAAUGGAGAAAUCCGGCUGUGAUGAUGCACAGCCAUCCAUGCCCAAGAGCAUGAGAAGGGAACCGGGCGAACUGAAACAUCUAAGUAACCCGAGGAAAAGAAAUCAAACGAGAUACCCCAAGUAGCGGCGAGCGAACAGGGAAGAAGCCCAAACCGGUGAAGGAAACUUUGCCGGGGUUGAGGACCAUCAGACCCGCGAAGAACCUUAGCCGAAACUGUUGGGAAACAGUGCCAAAGACAGUGAAAGCCUGGUAGGCGAAAAAGAGAAACGCGGAGAUGGCACCAGAGUACCGCGGGACACGAGAAAUCCCGUGGGAAACAGGGGGGACCACCCUCCAAGGCAAAACACAGAUAUCGACCGAUAGCGCAUAGUACCAUGAGGGAAAGGUGAAAAGCACCCCGGGAGGGGAAUGAAAGAGAACCUGAAACCGUAUGUUUACAAGCAGUCGGAGACCGCUUAAUAAUAAGGUCGACGGCGUGCCUAUUGAAGAAUGAACCGGCGAGUUACGAAGCCUGGCAAGGUUAAGCAGGAAAUGCGGAGCCGAAGCGAAAGCGAGUCUUAAGAGGGCGCAAGUCAGGAAGCGUAGACCCGAAACCACAGUGAUCUACCCAUGUCCAGGUUGAAACACAGGUAAAAAUGUGUGGAGGACCGAACCUAUAUCCGUUGAAAAGGGUUAGGAUGAGGUGUGGGUAGGGGUGAAAUUCCAAUCGAACGUGGAGAUAGCUGGUUCUCCCCGAAAUAGCUUUAGGGCUAGCCUCAGGGAAAAGAUUGCAGGCGGUAGAGCACUGAUCAGGAGAGGGACCUACCCGGUUACCAAACCCAGUCAAACUCCGAAUGGCUGCAAUCAUACCUGGGAGUCAGACUGCGACUAAUAAGGGCCGCAGUCAAAAGGGAAACAGCCCAGACCAUCAGCUAAGGUCCCCAAUGCCGUGCUAAGUGGCGAAGGAUGUGGCAUUUCAUAAACAACCAGGAUGUUGGCUCAGAAGCAGCCACCAUUUAAAGAGUGCGUAAUAGCUCACUGGUCGAGAGACGCUGCGCCGAAAAUGUCCGGGGCUCAAGCACGGAACCGAAGCUAUGGCAUGAUAGCAAUAUCAUGGGUAGGGGAGCGUUCUUAUAAGGAAGAAGCAUGACCGGAAGGACAUGUGGACAAAUAAGAAGUGAGAAUGCCGGUAUGAGUAUCGAAAAGAAAGGUGAGAAUCCUUUCCACCGAAAGCCCGAGGGUUCCUGAGCAACGAUCGUCGACUCAGGGUAAGUCGGGACCUAAGCCGAGGCGAGAAGCGUAGGCGAUGGACAACAGGUUGAAAUUCCUGUACCGGAUCAAGUCGAUCGAGCGAAGGAGCGACGCAGGAGGGCACAUGAUCGCGCGGGUGGAAGAGCGCGUCCAAGUGCGUAUGUUGCUGCAGAGGAAAACCCCUGCAGCUAAAAGCAGAGACAUGAUGGGGAGUUAAAGGGAACUUUGACGAACUCAUGAAUCCCACACUGCCAAGAAAAACUUCUAGCGAGACAAGAUCCGCCCGUACCGUAAACCGACACAGGUAGGCGGGGAGAGAAUCCUAAGGUGCGCGGGAAAACCCUCGUUAAGGAACUCGGCAAAUUGCAUCCGUAACCUAGGGAGAAGGAUGGCCCCCGGUCAGUGAAGAGCAGAAACGCUCAGAGCUAAAAGGGGCGGCAGAAAAGAGGCCCAAGCAACUGUUUACCAAAAACACAGGUGCCUGCGAAAGCGAAAGCUGAAGUAUAGGUGCUGACGCCUGCCCGGUGCCGGAAGGUUAAGGAGAGAAGUUAGCGAAAGCGAAGCAUCGAACUGAAGCCCCGGUGAACGGCGGCCGUAACUAUAACGGUCCUAAGGUAGCGAAAUUCCUUGUCGGGUAA